UUUUCCUGUUCAUCCUGACAGAGACAGACUUGGCGGAUUGCGAUAUCCGGUCUUUCUGUCUAGAGCUUUAAUCGGGAGUAGAAAUGCGCGUCGUGUGAAAUUCAAAAGAGUAUAAUAUAUGUGAUAAUCUAUGUGUUGCAUGUUAGAUACCUACCUCAGAAAUUAAAUGAUGUAUUCGCCCGCAACCUGAAAAGAAAAAAGAAUAUAAAAAAAAUACUUACCAGUGUAACGCAAACGUACCUAAAAAUGUGUUUAAAAACCUGAAAGGUAGAAUAUUUAAUAGAAAAGGUCUGCACAGUGGACCUUUUCUCUUUACACGCAAAUUCGUGAACAGAACAUCUGGACAGAAAGGAAAAGGACAUCAUCACAAGUCACAGAACACACGUGGAUAGUAAAAGACGAACCACCGCCACCGAGGAAUACUCGAAAUCCCAACCCUAACCACAUUGCUCAAAACUUGCGCAAAUAUAAAAGAAAGAUGUGACGUCACAAGUAGGAUUAGAUUGAAAUAGAAAAGUGAGGAGAAAAUACACGUUCGAACACAUAUCAAACACUUAUAA